rnacentral:rRNA from 1 species
ACGGAAGGCAGCAGCUAAGAAUAUUCCGCAAUGGACGAAAGUCUGACGGAGCGACGCCGCGUGGAUGAUGAAGGUCGGAAGAUUGUAAAAUCCUUUUAAGCAUGAAGAAUAAGCAGUGUGGGUAAUGACAUUGUGGUGACGGUAGUGCUUGAAUAAGCAACGGCUAAUUACGUGCCAGCAGCCGCGGUAAUAUGUAAGUUGCGAGCGUUGUUCGGAAUUAUUGGGCGUAAAGGGCAUGUAGGCGGAUAUGCGAGCUUGGUGUGAAAGGCGGGAGCUUAACUCCCGAACUGCGUUGAGGACUGCAGAACUAGAGUGACUGAGGGGCAGGCAGAAUUCCAGGUGUAGGGGUGAAAUCUGUAGAUAUCUGGAAGAAUACCAAUGGCGAAGGCAGCCUGCCAGCAGAUGACUGACGCUGAGGUGCGAAGGUGCGGGGAGCAAACAGGAUUAGAUACCCUGGUA